CCUACGGGGCGCAGCAGUGGGGAAUUUUGCGCAAUGCUCGUAAGCGUGACGCAGCGACGCCGCGUGAAUGACGAAGGCCUUCGGGUCGUAAAGUUCUUUCGACAGGGAAGAAAAUGCCUAUAAGUAACUGUGCAUGUAUUGACGGUACCUGUAUAAGCAGCCCCGGCUAACUCCGUGCCAGCAGCCGCGGUAAUACGUAGGGGGCGAGCGUUAUCCGGAGUGACUGGGCGUAAAGAGAACGCAGGCGGUGUUGUAAG
rnacentral:rRNA from 1 species